rnacentral:rRNA from 1 species
CAGUAGCCGCGGUAAUACGAAGGGUGCAAGCGUUAAUCGGAAUUACUGGGCGUAAAGCGUGCGUAGGCGGUGAGUUAAGUCUGCUGUGAAAUCCCCGGGCUCAACCUGGGAAUGGCAGUGGAUACUGGCUCGCUAGAGUGUGUCAGAGGAUGGUGGAAUUCCCGGUGUAGCGGUGAAAUGCGUAGAGAUCGGGAGGAACAUCAGUGGCGAAGGCGGCCAUCUGGGACAACACUGACGCUGAGGCACGAAAGCGUGGGGAGCAAACAGGAUUAGAUACCCGAGUAGUCCCUGUCUCUUAUAC